AUUGAACGCUGGCGGCAGGCCUAACACAUGCAAGUCGAGCGGCAGCGGAAAGUAGCUUGCUACUUUGCCGGCGAGCGGCGGACGGGUGAGUAAUGUCUGGGAAACUGCCUGAUGGAGGGGGAUAACUACUGGAAACGGUAGCUAAUACCGCAUAACGUCGCAAGACCAAAGAGGGGGACCUUCGGGCCUCUUGCCAUCAGAUGUGCCCAGAUGGGAUUAGCUAGUAGGUGGGGUAACGGCUCACCUAGGCGACGAUCCCUAGCUGGUCUGAGAGGAUGACCAGCCACACUGGAACUGAGACACGGUCCAGACUCCUACGGGAGGCAGCAGUGGGGAAUAUUGCACAAUGGGCGCAAGCCUGAUGCAGCCAUGCCGCGUGUAUGAAGAAGGCCUUCGGGUUGUAAAGUACUUUCAGCGGGGAGGAAGGCGUUGUGGUUAAUAACCACAGCGAUUGACGUUACCCGCAGAAGAAGCACCGGCUAACUCCGUGCCAGCCGCCGCCGUAA
rnacentral:rRNA from 1 species